rnacentral:rRNA from 1 species
ACUCCUACGGGAGGCAGCAGUGGGGAAUAUUGCACAAUGGGGGAACCUAGCAUGCAGCCAUGCCGCGUGUGUGAAGAAGGCCUUCGGGUUGUAAAGCACUUUCAGUAGGGAGGAAGGUAGUGUAGUUAACACCUGCAUUAUUUGACGUUACCUACAGAAGAAGCACCGGCUAACUCCGUGCCAGCAGCCGCGGUAAUACGGAGGGUGCGAGCGUUAAUCGGAAUUACUGGGCGUAAAGCGCAUGCAGGCGGCCGUUAAGUCAGAUGUGAAAGCCCGGGGCUUAACCUCGGAAUUGCAUUUUGAAACUGGCAGGCUAGAGUCUUGUAGAGGGGGGUGAGAAUUAUCAGGUGUAGCGGUGAAAUGCGUAGAGAUCUGAAGGAAUACCAGU